CGCCAGUGACCGGCUGCCCGCCCAGACAGCCGCCGGCUCGCCCAGGAGCCCAGCAGCACCACUGGACCCCAGGGAAUCCCCCCAGCACUCCAAAAGGUAAGGAGGCUGGGGGGAUUAAAUAAAAAAUAAAAAUAAAAGUGUGUGUGUGUUAGUGUGUUAGUGUGUGCGUGUGUUAGUGUGUGUGUCUGCUAGUGAGUGUUAGUGUGUGUGUCUGCUAGUGUGUGUGUUAGUGUGUGUCUCUGCUAGUGAGUGUGUUACUGUGUGUGUCUGUUACUGAGUGUGUUUGAUGUCUGUUAGUGAGUGUGUGUUUGUCAGUGAAAGUGUAUGUUUUGUAAGUGAGUGUGUAUGUAUGUCUGUCGCUGAGUGUGUCUCUGUCAGUAAAUGUGUGUGUCUGUUAGCUAGUGUGUAUGCGUCUGUUCGUGAGAGUGUGUGUGUGAGUCUUCAGCAUUUACCUUUCUCCAGCGUCGGACUCCCCAGUGUCCGCCUCUCAGCUCCGAAUGCACAUGCUCUGCAAGAGGCGCGCGCGCAUUUAAACCGCCCAUAGGAAAGCAUUACUCAAUGCUUUCCUAUGGACGUUCGCGGAAGCUCCUCUAGCAGCUGUCAAUGAGACAGCCACCAGAGGCUGGAUUAACCCUCAGUGAAACAUAGCCG